GACGAACGCUGGCGGCGUGCUUAACACAUGCAAGUCGAACGGAAAGGCCCUGCUUUUGUGGGGUGCUCGAGUGGCGAACGGGUGAGUAACACGUGAGUAACCUGCCCUUGACUUUGGGAUAACUUCAGGAAACUGGGGCUAAUACCGGAUAGGAGCUCCUGCUGCAUGGUGGGGGUUGGAAAGUUUCGGCGGUUGGGGAUGGACUCGCGGCUUAUCAGCUUGUUGGUGGGGUAGUGGCUUACCAAGGCUUUGACGGGUAGCCGGCCUGAGAGGGUGAACGGCGACCUGGCGCCUACGAGACGGCCCAGAGUGCUAUGGGAGGCAGCAGGGGGGAAUAUUGCACAAUGGGCGGAAGCCUGAUGCGGCAGCGCCGCGUGCGGGAUGACGGCCUUCGGGUUGUAAACCGCUUUCGCCUGUGACGACGCGUGAGUGACGGUAAUGGGUAAAGAAGCACCGGCUAACUACGUG
rnacentral:rRNA from 1 species